CCCAUUACUAUUGCUGGAAUGCAAAGGCUGUGAAUGUAGGACUGGCAGAGCUCCAGAGAAGCAGGUAGCCAGGCUGAGCCAUCUGCACAGAGGCUACGAACAGUAACACCAUGAAAUUUGCAAGAACGUUACCUUGGCAAAAGAAUGCAUUAUUUCUGAGAGGACAUCGGACUCUGGCUCCGUCCCAAUGGCUUUGAUGAGAGCGUCACACAUGAAGUGCCACAUCUGCGUGAGGUACUCCGGCCCACGAACCCUGGCACAUUCAAGAAGGAGGGGCAUCGACUCUGCGGCUGCCACUCGGACACGUGCCAUUAUUAAGGAAAGACAGCAACCAACACCAACAAAGUGCUUAGAAUUUAAGACCUCAACACCAUAACGAAGUUCUUAGUUUUUUACCCAAAAUUCAUUUAAUUAUAAUCCAUGCAUUUGAUUUGUUAAUUAUAUAUAGAUUAAAUCAUAGGAAGUGUUUUCAAGUCUGUUUCAGGCCAUGACAGAAAAGCUCUGUUCAAGCUCUCUUCUGCUUUAUUACAGAAACAUUGCUUUUUCUACUGAUUGCUUAUUUAAAAAGGAACUAGGGGGAAAAGUAGGAAUACAUUGCCUAAAAUAGGGUGUGUAAACCAACAUUCUCUGAAACCAUUUCUGCUAUAAAGUCACAGACUAUUUUAACACUAACACUUUCAUUUAGGAAAAUAGCAAGCUCAAUUUUGAUUCCAAGUUUCUGUUUUCACAGUGGAAUUUGUUAAUAGGAUAUCAUCAUGGAAAUAGAACUUCAACAAUGGAACCAUCAACUUUACAACUUGCUCUGUGUAUUCCACAAAUCCUUCUUUUAGCUCUUUUGCAUAGCAAACCUGAAAAACAGAGCACAGAUAUGCGACUUUUAAGGGAUAAUACUUAUAUUUUUCAACUAUGUAAAGGUGAGAGGGAGAUUGUUAGAAGUGUAAGGGUUUUUUUAAGUUUAUUUUAAAAAACAUGUAAUAAUCCAUUUCCCUUCCCCCUCAACUGUGGCAAUUUGAGAAACCCUGAUAGCAGCAUAAGUUCUCACUCUUAGGGCAUGCAUGUAUAUUUCAAACCAAAUUCCAAAACAGCAAUAUUUGCAAAAAGGAACUACUUUUUAACAUAUUAAAUUCCUUAAGUUUUGCUAACAAAGAAAAACAAUCCGUUAAUUUAAAAAAAUGUACACUCCUAAGUAAAUAAACUGUUUUUAAUCAAGUAAA